UUCCCUGCUUUGUGCGUGAUGGUUUGGAGGCUCGUUGAACCAACACUAAAUAAAAGUGAGCUGCAGUACUGCGUGGUGUGCAAGCCUCUGAGUGAGGAAGCCUAAAGCGUAGUUCACGAGUGGUUCCACCUGUCUACGCAGGUUCAUCUGACCUCCCCACACGGCAAAGCGGGGCU
rnacentral:other from 1 species